rnacentral:rRNA from 1 species
GGUGAACGCUAGCUACAGGCUUAACACAUGCAAGUCGAGGGGUAACGAGAGGAAAGCUUGCUUUCCUUGUCGACGACCGGCGCACGGGUGAGUAACGCGUAUCCAACCUGCCCCCAACUAGGGAAUAACCUUGCGAAAGUAAGACUAAUACCCUAUAAUUUCCUCAGAUGUCAUCUGACGAGGAAUAAAGAUUUAUCGGUUGUGGAUGGGGAUGCGUCUGAUUAGCUUGUUGGCGGGGUAACGGCCCACCAAGGCAACGAUCAGUAGGGGUUCUGAGAGGAAGGUCCCCCACAUUGGAACUGAGACACGGUCCAAACUCCUACGGGAGGCAGCAGUGAGGAAUAUUGGUCAAUGGGCGGAAGCCUGAACCAGCCAAGUAGCGUGCAGGAUGACGGCCCUAUGGGUUGUAAACUGCUUUUAUACAGGAAUAAAGUUAGCCACGUGUAAUAAGCUGAAUGUACCGAAGGAAUAAGGAUCGGCUAACUCCGUGCCAGCCGCCGCUGUAA